GUGGAGCAUGUGGUUUAAUUCGAAGCAACGCGAAGAACCUUACCAGGUCUUGACAUCCUUUGACCACUCUAGAGAUAGAGCUUUCCCUUCGGGGACAAAGUGACAGGUGGUGCAUGGUUGUCGUCAGCUCGUGUCGUGAGAUGUUGGGUUAAGUCCCGCAACGAGCGCAACCCUUAUUGUUAGUUGCCAUCAUUAAGUUGGGCACUCUAGCGAGACUGCCGGUGACAAACCGGAGGAAGGUGGGGAUGACGUCAAAUCAUCAUGCCCCUUAUGACCUGGGCUACACACGUGCUACAAUGGACAGUACAAUGAGCAGCGACACGGCGACGUGAAGCGAAUCUCAUAAAGCUGUUCUCAGUUCGGAUUGUAGGCUGCAACUCGCCUACAUGAAGCCGGAAUCGCUAGUAAUCGCGGAUCAGCACGCCGCGGUGAAUACGUUCCCGGGCCUUGUACACACCGCCCGUCACACCACGAAAGUUUGUAACACCCGAAGUCGGUGAGGUAACCGCAAGGAGCCAACCGCCUAAGGUGGGAUAGAUGAUUGGGGUGAAGUCGUAACAAGGUAACCAAGGGCGAAUUCUG
rnacentral:rRNA from 1 species